AUAAUUACCAGGCAGGGGAAAUACCAUGAUCAUGAAGGUGGUUUUCCCAGGGCUAGGCUUAUCCAUUGCACUCCAGAUGUGCUGACCCCUGUGAUUUUUUCCAAAUGCAGGGAAACUUGACUGCAUAAUUUGUGGUAGUGUGGGGCUGUGUUCAUGCUCUCUCCUG
rnacentral:snRNA from 1 species